rnacentral:rRNA from 1 species
UCCCCCGGGGGGCCUAGGGGAGGCAGCAGUGGGGAAUAUUGGACAAUGGGCGAAAGCCUGAUCCAGCAAUGCCGCAUGAGUGAUGAAGGCCUUAGGGUGUAAAGCUCUUUACCCGGGAUGAGUACCGGGAGAAUAAGCUCCGGCUAACUCCGUG